ACGAACGCUGGCGGCGUGCUUAACACAUGCAAGUCGAACGGAAAGGCCCUGCUUGCAGGGUGCUCGAGUGGCGAACGGGUGAGUAACACGUGGGUGAUCUGCCCCUUACUUUGGGAUAAGCCUGGGAAACUGGGUCUAAUACUGGAUAGGACCAUGCUGUAGGUGGUGUGGUGGAAAGAUUAGUUUCGGUAAGGGAUGAGCUCGCGGCCUAUCAGCUUGUUGGUGGGGUAAUGGCCUACCAAGGCGUCGACGGGUAGCCGGCCUGAGAGGGUGGACGGCCACAUUGGGACUGAGAUACGGCCCAGACUCCUACGGGAGGCAGCAGUGGGGAAUAUUGCACAAUGGGCGCAAGCCUGAUGCAGCGACGCCGCGUGGGGGAUGACGGCCUUCGGGUUGUAAACUCCUUUCAGCCAUGACGAAGCCUUCGGGUGACGGUAGUGGUAGAAGAAGCACCGGCUAACUACGUG
rnacentral:rRNA from 1 species